rnacentral:tmRNA from 1 species
GUCAAGGUUUCGACAGGAGUCUUGCAGCUGGAGAAGCUAUCCGCAGGCGAUGCGUCAAAUCGCAAAAUUAAAAAUAAACGCUGAAGAUAAUUUAGCAUACGCAGCCUAAUGGCUGCAGUCUGACCUAAAGCACCUACACUUUAGGACCCAGGCUUCGACUAUGUAGGAAACGACAUACCCUAAGCUUUGCCGGUAUGGGCGUAUCAUGAAGCUACCAAAUAUAGCAGGCUGUCAAUUUCCUGCUAUAGGAGGGAACAGAGCGGGUCUGCCCGCUUAAAGAUAAUUGACUAUGAUAGUAGAAGGACAGGGAAUAGGCUUUUGGACACGGGUUCGACUCCCGUCUAGUCC